GACGAACGCUGGCGGCGUGCUUAACACAUGCAAGUCAAGGGGGCCCAGCAAUGGGCAACCGGCGAACGGGUGCGUAACACGUGAGCAACCUACCGAACUGUGGGGGAUAGCCGGCCUAACGGCCGAGUAAUACCGCAUACGCUCUCAGUGAGGCAGUUUCAUUGAGAGGAAACCUACGGGACAGAUCGAGGGGCUCGCGGCCUAUCAGCUAGUUGGCGAGGUAACGGCUCACCAAGGCAACGACGGGUAGCUGGUCUGAGAGGAUGGCCAGCCACAUUGGGACUGAGAUACGGCCCAGACUCCUACGGGAGGCAGCAGUGGGGAAUCUUGCGCAAUGGCCUAACGGCUGACGCAGCGACGCCGCGUGUGGGAUGAAGCUCUUCGGAGUGUAAACCACUGUUGCCCGGGACGAAUAGCUCGAUUAAUCGAGCCUGACAGUACCGGGUGAGG
rnacentral:rRNA from 1 species